CCUUCGAUAGCUCAGUUGGUAGAGCGGUGGACUGUAGUGGCUUAAAGUAUGUAUAAUUUGCAGUAAUCCAUAGGUCGCUGGUUCAAAUCCGGCUCGAAGGA
rnacentral:ncRNA from 12 species